ACUACUCCUUUAAUUUCAACAUUUACAAAUACAUUAUUUAAAUCAAAGGUUGUAUUUGUUAACAUAGUUAUGCACCGUGAAAUGAACAAUCAAUGAACAGCUGUUAUUUGAUUAAGUAACAUUAACAAAGAUUAAUAAAUACUGUAUUCCUCAUUGUUAGUUCAUGUUAUUUCGUACAUUAAAUAAUGUUAACAAAUGAGACCUUAUUCUAAUCGUUAUAGCAUCUCUCUAAUCUUAAAGCCAAACCAGUUUUUCUGACGACUUUGUGAUAGUUUGUGAAUGAUGCCGAAUUCAUGAUGGAGAACACCAAAAUAUUGCUGCUUAGUGUAAUAUUUACAUUAAAUUAGAACGAAAUCAAUACUUUUAUUCAGCAAGGAUGCAUUAAAUAGAUCAAAAGUGACUUAUAUUGUCACAAUUGGGUAAUGUUUGCAAUAAAAAUGUGUCACUGUUUCCACAAAAAUAUGAAUUUUUCAUCAUUGAUGAUAAUAAUGAGCAAUGUUUUUUGAGCAGCAAUUCAGCAUCCUUGGUAAUCCUAGACAAUAGUAUAAUUGUGAAUUAAAUAAUUGUUGCAAAUAAUGUAUAUUGUCAAAAAACACCACCAUUUGGGGUAGGUAAGAUUUUUUUUUUUUAAUGUUUAAUGUUCUUUCAUGUUCACCAAGGCUGAAGUUAGCCUAUUUGAUAAAGAAAUACUUUAAAAACAGUAAUAUUGUGAAAUAUUAUUACAAUUUAAAAAAAAUAUCAGAUUUCUUUUUGAAUAUAUUGUAAAAUGUAAUUUAUUCCUGUGAUGAAAGCUGUAUUUUCAGCAUCAUUAGUCUUCAGUAUCGCAUGAUCCUUCCGAAAUCACUCUAAUAUGAUGAUCUGAUGCUCAAGAAACAUUUCUGAUUAUUAUCAAUGGUGAAAACAAUAUUGUUGAAACUAUGAAACAUUUUCUUUAGGAUUCAUUGAUGAAUACAAACUUCAAAAGAACAUUUAUUUGAAUUAGAGUGUUUUGUAAAUGUCACUUUUGAUCAUUUUAAUGUGUCCAUGCAGAUUAAUUUUAAUUGGAUGAUGCAGUAACAGCAUUCAGCAGCUGGGAAACGUCCUGCUAACCAGCCGCACAUGAUCCGCUGCAGUUCUUCUGAUAAAGUUCAGAUGUCAUCAGUUAAGAGCCGUGUGUACAGCAGGCCAGAAGAGUACAGUAUGACUGUUGAGUGACGUGUUCAGGCUGUGAACAGCAGCACCUGUGUAUCCGUGUGGGAUAAAUGAGCAGAGAAAUGGAGAUCUGUGCUGUGAUACUCGCUGGAUCCGAUCUCUCCGCUGGGACCCGCAGGACUGACGCAGCGACCCCUCGUACACCACCGGCUCUCUGCACACUUUCUAAUAGCCUGGCCUCACGGAGACUCACCCGUGCGAGGAGGCAGAAAAUAAAGAGGCUGGAGAGGCCGAGCAACAUCACUGACCAUGUAAUUAUCCACUCAUGUCUCUGGGAUGGCAGACGCCACGGCUCCCUGACAUCUCUUCACCCGCUUCACCUGUCACUCAUCUCGUGUUUCUGGCAGCCCUCGGCUGACCCGUCUCGCCCCCCCUCGUGACAUCCACCCCCGUCCUCUGUCACCUUUCCCACCUUCCCUGUCACGCGUACGUGUCGACCAGUCUCAUUUUCGAGUGAGAGGGCCACCCGUGGACGCGACAUCUCUCUGUCUGCACGUCUCAUUAGAAACAGCUUGGCUGUGGGGCUGACAGCACUAAUCGAGGAUCUCGACAGGAACCGGCCAAUCUCUGUCUCGGGUCGAGAUCUGCCCCGCUCGUGAACCUCCCCGACCGCUGGCCAGAGGGAAAAAACAUCUGUCCGCAGGAUAAGUGCAGUUUAAUGGGGUUCCGCAUCAGUUUGGGCCGAAAAGGGACAUUUUCAAGGAACGGUCAUUAUUUACUGGUCCUCGUGAGGUGAAUUUGGUAACACUUUGGAAACACUUUCGAAUAAUGCAAUCUAAACGUUUUCUGACACAUUAUUAAAAUCAAAAGUUGCACCUGUUAAUGUUAUUUAAUGGACCAAGAAGUAACGAUGAUAAUUUAACGUCA